UACGUAGGGUGCAAGCGUUGUCCGGAAUUAUUGGGCGUAAAGAGCGUGUAGGCGGCCCGAUUAGUCCGCUGUGAAAGUCCAGGGCUCAACCCUGGAAUGCCGGUGGAUACUGUCGGGCUAGAGUCCGGAAGGGGCGAGUGGAAUUCCUGGUGUAGCGGUGAAAUGCGCAGAUAUCAGGAGGAACACCGGUGGCGAAGGCGGGUCUCUGGGCCGUAACUGACGCUGAGGCACGAAGGCCAGGGGAGCAAACGGG
rnacentral:rRNA from 1 species